UACGUAGGGUGCGAGCGUUGUCCGGAAUUAUUGGGCGUAAAGAGCUUGUAGGCGGUUUGUCGCGUCUGCUGUGAAAAUCCGGGGCUCAACCCCGGACUUGCAGUGGGUACGGGCAGACUAGAGUGUGGUAGGGGAGACUGGAAUUCCUGGUGUAGCGGUGAAAUGCGCAGAUAUCAGGAGGAACACCGAUGGCGAAGGCAGGUCUCUGGGCCACUACUGACGCUGAGAAGCGAAAGCAUAGGGAGCGAACAGG
rnacentral:rRNA from 1 species